CACGUGCAGAGGGGGGGGCUGGGGGUGCUUGAGCACCUGCCCUUUUUGCUCCUUGCCCUAAAGUGCCCUUUUGGUCCAAUUUUUUUUUUUUUUUUUUAAAGUUAAUUUCCCAAGCCCUCCUCUGAUAUGUACUAAAAUUAUUAUUUUUUGUUGUUGUUGUUUUUAUUUAAAGAAAAACAACAUAAUAAGCCCUUUGGCUCACCUUGUUACCUUUGACCUUUUGUCCGUGACGCAUGACGCAGCUGCCUCCCGCUCAGUCAGUGAGACUGCGCAGUAGCUUACUGCGGAGCUCAACGUGGAGGAGGAAGGAAGGAAAAUUCAAAGAUGCCACGUAAAGAAAGACGGCAGAAACAAAAAAGAAAAGAAUUGAUAGAUGCAGCAAAAGGUAGUGGAUUGUUGACCGGCUGGGUCAGAACGAGUACUGCAGAUGGACAGAAGGAAAGUGAUAGAUCAGAGGAGGAGACAAAAAUGCAGUCAACAACACAGGAAGACCGGCAAGGAGAGGGACA